rnacentral:rRNA from 1 species
CAUCUAGGCGGGGAAUUAAGUUAGGUGUGAAAUCCAUGGGCUCAACCCGUGAAUUGCAUCUAAAACUGGUUCUCUUGAGUUAGGGAGAGGAAAGCAGAAUUCCUGGUGUAGCGGUGAAAUGCGUAGAUAUCAGGAGGAAUACCAGUGGCGAAGGCGGCUUUCUGGCCUAUAACUGACGCUGAAGUGCGAAAGCGUGGGGAGCGAACG